UGCUGCAUGGCCGUCGUCAGCUCGUGUCGUGAGAUGUUGGGUUAAGUCCCGUAACGAGCGCAACCCUUAUCCCUAGUUGCCAGCACAUUAUGGUGGGAACGUCUAGGGAGACUGCCGGUGACAAACCGGAGGAAGGUGGGGAUGACGUCAGGUCAUCAUGGCCCUUACGGCCAGGGCUACACACGUGCUACAAUGGGUGGUACAAAGAGCAGCCAGCUCGCGAGAGUGAGCAAAUCUCAAAAAGCCAUCCUCAGUUCGGAUUGAAGUCUGCAACUCGACUUCAUGAAGUUGGAAUCGCUAGUAAUCGCGGAUCAGCAUGCCGCGGUGAAUACGCUCCCGGGCCUU
rnacentral:rRNA from 1 species